rnacentral:pre_miRNA from 1 species
GAGAUACCCUUCCGGGGCAAGACUUGCUUCAGUGGGGCUUUGGUGCUCACUGAGUCUGCCCCCUGAGUGUGUCCUU